AGUGAACGCUGGCGGUAUGCCUAACACAUGCAAGUCGAACGGCAGCACAGUAAGAGCUUGCUCUUACGGGUGGCGAGUGGCGGACGGGUGAGGAAUACAUCGGAAUCUACUUUUUCGGGGGGGAUAACGUAGGGAAACUUACGCUAAUACCGCAUACGACCUACGGGUGAAAGCAGGGGAUCUUCGGACCUUGCGCGAUUGAAUGAGCCGAUGUCGGAUUAGCUAGUUAGCGGGGUAAAGGCCCAACAAGGCGACGAUCCGUAGCUGGUCUGAGAGGGUGAUCAGCCAGACUGGCACUGAGACACGGUACAGACUCCGACGGGAGGCAGCAGUGGGGAAUAUUGGACAAUGGGCGAAAGCCUGAUCCAGCCAUACCGCGUGGGUGAAGAAGGACUUCGGGUUGUAAAGCCCUGUUGUUGGGAAAGAAAAGCAGCAGGUUAAUACCCCGCUGUUCUGACGGUACCCAAAGAAUAAGCACCGGCUAACUUCGUG
rnacentral:rRNA from 1 species